UGUUCAUUCGCUCCGGCCCCCCUCCCCGCCUGCCCCCUUCGUCCUCCUCCCUGUCGCCCCUCGGCUCCCUCUACCCCCAGCCCUCCCCCGCGCCCAGCUGGCCGAGGCCGCCGUCUGGUCCCCGUAACUUGAUGCCCGUGACAGUUGGCAGCUGCAGCCGUUUCGGCAGAGAAAAGAGGCGGCCUAGCCAAGAGCGACAGGGACAGCUUCCCUAUCCGUCUACCCGGUGGGAGCACACCUGCCCUGCAGCAGCACUGCACCCUCACCCAGUCCUCUGCUUCUCUCCCGGGACCUGGAUUGUCAGGGUCUGGGUGCUGCGAUGUCCCAGGCCUGCAUUGCUCACCCAGGAAUGAACCUGGUCCUCUCCUUCAAUCACACCUUGUUUUCCUCAGUCUCCCCUACAAGCCAGAAAGCUCAGCUCUCCUCUUCCUCCCGUCCUCUGCCUGGUCCAAGACCCAAUUGCCCUUCCCACUCUACUAGUGGUGAGGCCUAUAGAGAGGGAGAGGGGCUUGAGUGGUGGAUCCCAAGAGAGCCAACAGCUGGCCACUGACUUUACUUUUCUUCACCAUUUAGAUGUCACCCCAGGGAAGGAGAUCUCCCUCCACCCCCAAGUUUCCACUAUUUGAGAAACUCAGAUAUGGAAAAAUAAACUCAGUGUUGUUUCUUGUACUCUCAUUCAUACCCAUCCAUUAUUGAUUGUAUUUGAAUAAGAUCCAACAAGUAAUUUAGGAUGAUCUCUGUGAAAGGCAGUUCACAUUAGAACAGGGCCCUGGGGGAGGCCUCUGGGAAAAGAUUAUUGCUCUUUUCCUGAUUGGAUGGGGAACUGAAUGUGGGAAGGGAGGAAGAAUAAUACAGGCAAAUAAUGUGAGCAAAAAAUGAAAGGCAACUAGGAACUCCAGGAAAAACAAAA